GAUGAACGCUAGCGGCAGGCUUAACACAUGCAAGUCGAGGGGUAUUGGUUUUCGGACCAAGAGACCGGCGCACGGGUGCGUAACGCGUAUGCAAUCUACCUUUUGCAGAGGGAUAGCCCCAGAGAAAUUUGGAUUAAUACCUCAUAGUAUAGUACUUUGGCAUCAAGGAACUAUUAAAGUCACAACGGCAAAGAUGAGCAUGCGUCCCAUUAGCUAGUUGGUAAGGUAACGGCUUACCAAGGCUACGAUGGGUAGGGGUUCUGAGAGGGAGAUCCCCCACACUGGUACUGAGACACGGACCAGACUCCUACGGGAGGCAGCAGUGAGGAAUAUUGGACAAUGGGCGCAAGCCUGAUCCAGCCAUGCCGCGUGCAGGAUGACGGUCCUAUGGAUUGUAAACUGCUUUUAUACAGGAAGAAACACUCCGACGUGUCGGAGCUUGACGGUACUGUAAGAAUAAGGAUCGGCUAACUCCGUGCCAGCAGCCG
rnacentral:rRNA from 1 species